rnacentral:rRNA from 1 species
AGCAGUCGCCGCGGUAAUACGUAUGUCGCAAGCGUUAUCCGGAAUUAUUGGGCAUAAAGGGCAUCUAGGCGGCCAGACAAGUCUGGGGUGAAAACUUGCGGCUCAACCGCAAGCCUGCCCUGGAAACUGUUUGGCUAGAGUGCUGGAGAGGUGGACGGAACUGCACGAGUAGAGGUGAAAUUCGUAGAUAUGUGCAGGAAUGCCGAUGAUGAAGAUAGUUCACUGGACGGCAACUGACGCUGAAGUGCGAAAGCUAGGGGAGCGAACAGGAUUAGAUACCCCCGUAGUCCCUGUCUCUUAUAC